GUAAAGAGUGGUUUCCAAUGCUAUAGCUUAAUUUUCACAAAAAUACUUCAUAAAAUUUUUUUUUUCAGUUGAGUUGAGGGCUUUAAUGGCGGCCUCCAUCUGGUAAGGGCAGCAAAGAACUAGGGCUAGAUUUCACCCUCUCUUUCUGCUGACCUGCAGGAAUCCCCUUAAAAUUUAUUCAUCAGAUGGAGAGAUGAUGAAAGUAAAACAUAAAACAUUGCACAUGUGCUUCUCUGGCAACUACUAAUUUCUUCAAUUUAAAAAUAAAUCUUCCCUGCUCCAGCCUACAACUGCCCCACUGUGUGCAUAGGCACGCGCGUGCGCGCGCACACACACACACCCCUACACAUACGUGGGGUGCUAUUUCUGUUAUGGUACAUAUGUGCAAAAAUUCAUUCACUCUCUCAUUUAAUAAAUAUUUAUUGGAUGCCUCAACUGUAACAUUCCUUCAUAAGUAUGGGGCCUAUCAGGAACUGGCUAUGGAAUUUCCAGGAUCCUGCUUAUUGAUAGGUGCUGGUACUAUUCUAAUCUUUUAACAGGCAUUAGAGAAUUAACACAGUCCUUUAAGUAAGAAGUAUGUACUCUGAUUUACAAAUCUGCCAACAACAAAAGCAACAACAAAACAGUUGUCCUAUUCAGGGAACAAAAUGAAAACACUGGAGUUUAUAUCACCCACUCUAAUUAUUACCCAGCCUAGACAAGAAAAUAACUGUAAGCACACACUCAUCCUCCAUAUAGAUUCACAUAGGAAGCUAUUUUCAUUCUUCUAAUGAGGAACAUGAAGAGCAUGCAUGAGCUAAGCUCAGAGGCCACUGCUUAAUUCCAAUACCAGUAUGCAAGCCCUUGGGUUCUACUGCCUGCCUUGAACUUUCACAGGUUCUUAGGAAAAAAAUACUGCAUUUAAGAGAAAAAAAGAAACACAUCCAGACAUGUCUUUUUUUUCCUUUUAUCAGAAGAGAAUGAUGCCCUGACACAUACAGAUGCAUAUGGUUCUCACUCAGAGGAUUCUCCUUUUUAGACUUCUCAUUCUUUUUUUUUUUUUUUUUUCUUGAGACGGAGUCUCGCUCUGUCGCCCAGGCUGGAGUGCAGUGGCGCGAUCUCGGCUCACUGCAAGCUCCGCCUCCCGGGUUCACGCCAUUCUCCUGCCUCAGCCUCCCGAGUAGCUGGGACUACAGGCGCCCGCUACCACGCCCGGCUAAUUUUUUUUUGUAUUUUUAGUAGAGACGGGGUUUCACCGUGUUAGCCAGGAUGGUCUCGAUCUCCUGACCUCGUGAUCCGCCCGCCUCGGCCUCCCAAAGUGCUGGGAUUACAGGCGUGAGCCACCGCGCCCGGCCGACUUCUCAUUCUUUAAUCCACAUUUUCCUUAUUUAAAUGGAAAUUAAUCAUCUUGGAGGAGUGAUGAAUAGGAUGAGCUUUGGAGUCAGACAGCUGUGUGAUCGUGAGGAAAUUACACGUGAUGUUACUACACCUCAGUUUCCUUAUUUAUAAAACUUAGAAUAAUAAUAGUGUUUAUAUAUAGUGCUAAUAUGGAGAUUAGCCCAGAGCCUAAUAUAACUAUUCCAUAACUGAGAGUUAGUAUUAUUAGCAAUAUGAUUAGUAAUAUAAUCAUAUUAUAACUAAUCAUAUUACUAAUCAUAUUAGUCAUAUUAUUACUAAUCAUAUUAGUAAUCAUAUUAGUCAUAUUAUUAUUACUAAUCAUAUUGUUAUAAAAGACAGGAUCCACUGCCCCAUCCAUCAACAUCACCACCCAAAUAGAUGUCUUUUCUUCAUGCAGAAAUUCACUCAAAACAUAACAUGGAUAUCUAGACACAGCCACAUAGUUUUAUUAAAAGCUUUGUAAGCCUCCAAAAUACAGGUUAUCAACUCCAGUUGCACAUUAGAAUCUCCUGGGAAACUUUUUUUUGAGACGGAGUUUUGCUCUUAUUGCCCAGGGUGGAGUGCAGUGGCGCGAUCUCAGCUCACCACAACCUCCACCUCCCAGAUUCAAGCGAUUCUCCUACCUCAGCUUCCCGAGUAGCUGGGAUUACAGGCAUGUGCCACCACGCCUAGCUAAUUUUUUGUAUUUUUAGUAGAGAUGGGGUUUGUCCAUGGUGAUCAGGCUGGUCUUGAACUCCUGACCUCAGGUGAUCCGCCCACCUCAGUCUCCCAAAGUGCUGGGAUUACAGGCGUGAGCCACCGUGCCCAGCCGGGAAACUUUCUAAAACUAAAGAUGCAAAGUCCCACUCCAGACCAAAGGAGUCAGAAUUUCUGGAGGUGGACUCUGGCCUGAGUAAUAUAAGUAAUAUGUUAAGUGCUCCCCAGGUGAUUCUGAUACAUAGUGAAGUUGAGAACCUCUGCACUACAGCUACCAAACAGAAACAUCAGCCUUGACUGUCAAAGCUCCCAAGAAAGAACCUAAGUGCUUGGAUAUCCCAAGUCCAAGUCCAAGUCUUUGCCAUGGUACCAGUGCACCUAGUAGGUUAGCUAUUCUUGGUGCUUCACCUGUUUCAUUUCUGAAAAACAGUCUGCUCUCUUCCUAACAAUAACACUAGAGUUAAUGAUCCUUGAAGUCCCAGUGGCCACAAUUCCAUAGGGAGUUACCUUCCUGGUCUCCUGAGUAUAGACAAUGGACAAGGUAAGCAGCAGUCUUGGGAAAACAAACAACACAGACCAGGAAAACAGAGAAGCAACCCCUGCUGCCACUGUGAACACAUACGAAGUCAGCUCCACUUCAGAGCAAAGAUACAAUCCAGCUGAAUAUUAGAAAAAUAUGGUCUGACCAUUUAGAUUUCAGAGGGAUCCAAAACCAAUUUAGACUCCAGUCGGUCGACAAAGUUCACAUUCAGCAAAACAGCUCCAGCAGUUGCAUCAUACACACAACAGGGCAAUUCAGAAAUACAGAUGUCCAGCCAUGUGCAAAACAAUGCUUUCAUUUUUUUUCUUCUCUUUCCCACCACUGACCCCGAGAGCAGGCUGGAAAAGCUCAGCAUCUGUUGCUACUAAGAAUAGGCUGUGGAGAUAAUUAUUUAUGAACUUGCAAGCCCUGAGCUACCUAGCACGCUCAGGGACGGUCAGAGCAGAUCACUGUCACUGUGUUGAGGGUUACACAGCAGACACCCCAUGCCAGGCAGGGUUACUUUCCAGUUUGCUCACUGGAAACAACAGGUAGGAACGUGACUCUAAACAAUCACCCUGGUGGGUCAUUCUCAAGAGACUAAGGUUCAAGUUAUAGAUGGGGUUCUAGGGAACUACAUGGUACACACUGUUUAACAUGGCAUGGAACUCGCACAAGAGAGAUAAGAAACAGGAAAGCCAUGCUCCUUCUGGCAAACAGCUAAACAUCUACAGACGCUCAUGGAAACUCACCUGAAUUCUUAUUGUGGACAACAUCUAUCAGACACUGCUAGACAUAUCAGGACCAGAGUGACAAUCUAGGACCUAAGGCUCAAAGAUAUCACUGCAUGCUUUGGAGGUAAGCCUGAGUUUCAGAGUCUGUCGGACAUACAUAAACUCCAUAUAACGUAUCAGGACUUGCUUUAGAAAC
rnacentral:lncRNA from 1 species